CAGGAAACUGGUUAAUCGUUUUCCUUGGUAGUAUAGCGGAAACCAUAAAUAAGAAGAACUCUAAGUGCUUGAGUAGAGUUAAAAUAAUUAGACAGGCAAUAUUACA
rnacentral:sRNA from 12 species